rnacentral:rRNA from 1 species
UGCUAACUAUGCAGUCGAACGGUGAAGCCAAGCUUGCUUGGUGGAUCAGUGGCGAACGGGUGAGUAACACGUGAGCAACCUGCCCUGGACUCUGGGAUAAGCGCUGGAAACGGCGUCUAAUACUGGAUAUGAGACGUGAUCGCAUGGUCGUGUUUGGAAAGAUUUUUCGGUCUGGGAUGGGCUCGCGGCCUAUCAGCUUGUUGGUGAGGUAAUGGCUCACCAAGGCGUCGACGGGUAGCCGGCCUGAGAGGGUGACCGGCCACACUGGGACUGAGACACGGCCAGACUCCUACGGGAGGCAGCAGUGGGGAAUAUUGCACAAUGGGCGAAAGCCUGAUGCAGCAACGCCGCGUGAGGGAUGACGGCCUUCGGGUUGUAAACCUCUUUUAGCAGGGAAGAAGCGAAAGUGACGGUACCUGCAGAAAAAGCGCCGGCUAACUACGUGCCAGCAGCCGCGGUAAUACGUAGGGCGCAAGCGUUAUCCGGAAUUAUUGGGCGUAAAGAGCUCGUAGGCGGUUUGUCGCGUCUGCUGUGAAAUCCCGAGGCUCAACCUCGGGCCUGCAGUGGGUACGGGCAGACUAGAGUGCGGUAGGGGAGAUUGGAAUUCCUGGUGUAGCGGUGGAAUGCGCAGAUAUCAGGAGGAACACCGAUGGCGAAGGCAGAUCUCUGGGCCGUA